rnacentral:lncRNA from 1 species
AAAGAGAAAGGCUAAUAUUUUCUUCCUACCCACACUGUAAUGACUUACCUUUGUAGUCUCAGUUUGUGGGUACUCACUUUGUAGUCUCAGUUUGUGGGUACCCACUUUGGAGGACACCAAAUAAGGAAUAUCGACAGACCUACCAACGGUUGAAGAAAACUUCUGAUGUGACAGAAGCAAACAGGACUUCACCCUCAAAGACAUUUUCUGGAAAAGCGUGGACUGCUGCUACCCUGGAUGGAGACUCCUUCUAGGGGAGUGUCUGAAUAGCAUUCGUCUGCCUCUAAUUAUUCUGGGUCACCAUGUCAGCUCUUUCCAAGGGUGUUGAAAUCUGCCGAGAUUUAUUUUGAUGAAGAAUAAGAUGAACUGUUAAGUUCCAUUGCAUCAGGGAUGUUCAAAGAAAUGGAAACAACUCCAGGCAUUUCAAGAAGGAAGGAAUUUAAUACAGGAGAUGACUUAGCUUUGAGAGAGGCAGCAGGCUGUAAGGUCUCCAGCAGAUGCAGCUGCCUCCAGAACUCUUGCGGCUCACCCAAAAUCGCACAUCUGCCAAAGCCCACAUGUUCCCCUCACUGCCAGAGGAGCACCACUGUGAUGACCGCUUCUCUUCUGCCUUCCAAGUCACAUGUGAGUGCUCCUUCUGAGUAGAAUCUGACCAGGAUCUUGGAAAAUGUACAUUUUGGAUGUCCUGCUCUGCAGCAUAGCUGGGGGAUGAUAGGAGGAGAAAAUGGUGUCCAGGAGUCAACAGCACUGUGACUCAGCUAGGUCUUCCCUUCCUCCCUUCAUCCCAAUUCUAAUUCCUGCAGAGACCCUGGUCCUGUUUUACAAGACUCCUUUUAGCAGAAUUUGGUCAAAGUCAUCAUGGCACUCCUAUAAGCAAUUACAAAGUGAUAUGGUUUGGCUCUGAGUCCCCAUCCAAAUCUCAUCUGGAAUUGUAAUCUCUAUAGUCCCCACAUGUCAAGGGAGGGACCUAGAGGGAGGUGAUUUUAUCAUGGGGUGGUUUCCCCCAUACUGCUCUCAUGAUAAUGAGUGAGUUCUCAUGAGAGCUGAUGGUUUUAUAGGGGGUCCUUCCCACUUUGCUUGCUCUUCUCUCUCCUUUUGAUUUGUGAAAAAGGUGGCUGCUUCCCCUUCUGCCACAAUUGUAAGUUUCCUGAGGCUUCCCCAGCCAUGCUGAACUGUGAGUCAAUUAAACCUCUUUUGUUUAUAAAUUGC